UAACGUGUGGGCAACCUGCCCUGUACUGGGGAAUAAUCAUUGGAAACGAAUGACUAAUACCGCAUGUGGUCCUCGGAAGGCAUCUUCUGAGGAAGAAAGGAUUUAUUCGGUACAGGAUGGGCCCGCAUCUGAUUAGCUAGUUGGUGAGAUAACAGCCCACCAAGGCGACGAUCAGUAGCCGACCUGAGAGGGUGAUCGGCCACAUUGGGACUGAGACACGGCCCAA
rnacentral:rRNA from 1 species